GACAAGACACCAACAUCAGACAAUCUUACGGAACUAUAAAAAUUAUUAAUUGAGAAGAGCAGGAAGCAUUUAUCUUGUUAGUUUCAGAUUCAUUUGUUGUUCCUUGGACAAAUAUACUGACUUAAGACAACGGCAGAACUUGCUCUUUUUAAAAAAUUGGGUUCAAAUUACACAUUGUUAACUAAAUGAUAAUCCCAAGUCCCUGCUGGUAUUAAUAAACAAACUUUAAAAAUUGUAAUUGUAAGUUAUUGAUCCCAUGCCAAAAACCUGUCACCAGUGUAUAAAUUAGCAUGAACAUAUGUUAAUGCAUAAUUCACAAUUUGCAACAGGGCUUUGUUGCAAAAUUGAUGAAAAUUCAUGAAAGAACCUUUUUAGAUUAAGUUGCCCAAUAAACAAGUAACCAGAGGCAUUCACAAUGUAGAGUUAAUGCAGCUUUUGAAAUUAGCUUUUGUGCAUUUUGUGGGAUUGUUAUAAGACAUUUAAACUUCUAAUGGAUGCUUUUUUAUGUUUCUAUAUUUUUUGAUUUUUCUAAAAUAAACAAUUUGUUUCUAAAAAGUGAAAACACACUUCUACAUAAACAAGUUUGUUUAUUUCUUUGAAUCACAGAUGUCCACAUUUGUAAAACUAAAUAGAAAGGGACUGAGAGGUCAUCUACUCUAAGUUUGACAACAUGGUACAGAACUACUUGCAUUUGAUCAACUUGUGUGCUUGUUAAAAAUAUUCAUCAUCCUGGCCCACUCCUAGGGUGCCAGAAUCAAAAUGUCUGAUGGGAAACCCAGAAAUCUCCAUGUUCCCCUAGACACCUCAGCUGCUUCUUAUAUAAAGUUGAGAUGCAAUCAUGUAGAAUCUGCAAGUGAGAAACUAAGGCCCAGUACACUUGAGACCACCUAAAAAACAAUGGCAGAUCUGGGAAUAAGAUCUAGGUUUCCUUACUCCUAACCCAGUGUUCUUCAUCCACAUUUCAGAGGACAGUAAGUAAAUAAAAAGAUAAAUGUUUCUGCACAUCAGAACAGACAAUCACUUCAUACCAAUAUUACCAGAAUAAUUUUAGUCUGUGGCCAUGACUAUCACAUGCUUUCUAUAGCUGGGUCCCGUUCUCAAACUGUGGUGCUAGAAUUACCACUCUUACAGAUCUGCAAUGAUUGUCACACCCAACCUCUUCUUGACCAUUCAAACUUGAGAAGAAAGUAUCAAUUCUCUCUUGAGGUGGGGUACUAUAAAAUAUUUAUAUUCAAAAUUAACCUCCAGAAGACUGAUCCUCUGGAUAAAUAUACAAACAUACUUAGUUUAAUGACUAUACAUUAAUCUAGCUAUGAGACAUUUAUACAUGACUGCAAUCCUUUCUUUCAAAUAGACUGUGUUUUGAAGGGUGGUUAAAAUUACAAUGCAAUGAUAAAGUGGCACUUGGGACAGGCUUAGAGAAAGGUUGCCAAUUCGGCAAAUAAAAAUAGGAUACUUUUGAUAUAAGUAAAUAACGCAAUAUGCAGUACUUGUUUUCUAAAAUUUAACUGGGUAUCCUAUAUUUUAUCUGGCACUCUGAAAUUAGAGAAAGAAAAAAGGAGAGAUUUUCGGGAGAGUGUUGUUAGUUCUGGAUCAGGGGGUCUCAUUGAGAAUUUGGUGUAGUCCUUGGACAGCACUAAGAUACUACACCUGGAAGAGAACAAGAGGAGGCAUCUCUCAGCU
rnacentral:lncRNA from 1 species